CCCUUAGAUGUUCUGGGCCGCACGCGCGCUACACUGAUGAAUUCAACGAGCACUAACCUGUGCCGAAAGGUUCGGGUAAUCUUGUGAAAUUUCAUCGUGAUGGGGAUUGAUUAUUGCAAUUUUUAAUCAUAAACGAGGAAUGCCUAGUAAGCGUGAGUCAUCAGCUCACGUUGAUUACGUCCCUGCCCUUUGUACACACCGCCCGUCGCUCCUACCGAUUGAUUGAUCCGGUGAAUUACAUAGAAUUUUGCGUUUUACAUGACGGAAGAUGAAGUGUUUUAAACCUUAUCAUUUAGAGGAAGGAGAAGUCGUAACA
rnacentral:rRNA from 1 species